GACGAACGCUGGCGGCGUGCUUAACACAUGCAAGUCGAACGGGAUUUAGUAAACAGAAGCCUCGGUGGAAGAUUACUAAUGAGAGUGGCGAACGGGUGAGUAACGCGUGAGCAACCUGCCUAUGACAGUGGGAUAGCCUCGGGAAACCGGGAUUAAUACCGCAUAAAAUUGUAGAAACACAUGUUUUAACGGUCAAAGAUUUAUCGGUCAUAGAUGGGCUCGCGUCUGAUUAGCUAGUUGGUGAGAUAACAGCCCACCAAGGCGACGAUCAGUAGCCGGUCUGAGAGGAUGAACGGCCACAUUGGAACUGAGACACGGUCCAAACUCCUACGGGAGGCAGCAGUGGGGAAUAUUGCACAAUGGGGGAAACCCUGAUGCAGCGACGCCGCGUGAACGAAGAAGGUAUUCGUAUCGUAAAGUUCUGUCCUAUGGGAAGAUAAUGACAGUACCAUAGAAGAAAGCUCCGGCUAAAUACGUG
rnacentral:rRNA from 1 species